rnacentral:rRNA from 1 species
UACGGGGGGGGGCAAGCGUUGUUCGGAAUCAUUGGGCGUAAAGAGCGUGUAGGCGGCCAGGUAGGUCGGUUGUGAAAACUGGAGGCUCAACCUUCAGAGGUCGACCGAAACCAUCUGGCUAGAGUCCGGGAGAGGAGAGUGGAAUUCCUGGUGUAGCGGUGAAAUUCGUAGAUAUUCGGAAGAACACCAGUGGCGAAGGCGGCUCACUGGCCCGGUACUGACGCUGAGGUGCGAAAGCGUGGGGAGCAAACAGG